GCGGACGUGGUGGAAUUGGUAGACACACUGGAUUUAGGUUUCAGCGCCGCAAGGCGUGAGAGUUCGAGUCUCUCCGUCCGCACCA
rnacentral:tRNA from 1 species